CAGCAGCAGCAGAAGAUCAUUAAAAUGGAAUGUCAAGUUAAGAAAAACGAGCAUUUUUGACACCUCCUUUUUGCGUUUAAUGAAGGUUCUAAGACCGCAAAUGCUGCUCGCGACAUUUAUGCUAUGUAUGGAGAGGGUCCCAUAGCUGAAAGAACCUCUCGUGUUUGGUAUGUCAAGUUCAAAAAUGGAAAUUUUUACCUCAAAGACACACCUCGUUCUGGCCGUCC